AGCAGCCGCGGUAAUUCCAGCUCCAAUAGCGUAUAUUAAAGUUGCUGCAGUUAAAAAGCUCGUAGUUGAAUUUCGAGACCGGCUUACUGGUCGUGCUUUUGUGCGUACUGGUAUAAUCGGUUUCUCCUUUCUGACGAACUAUAAUGCCAUUAAUUUGGUGUUAUAGGGAAUCAGGACUGUUACUUUGAAAAAAUUAGAGUGUUUAAAGCAGGCUCACGCUUGAAUACAUUAGCAUGGAAUAACGGAAUAGGACGUUUGAUUCUAUUUUGUUGGUUUCUAGGAUCGACGUAAUGAUUAAUAGGGAUAGUUGGGGGCAUUAGUAUUCAAUUGUCAGAGGUGAAAUUCUUGGAUUUAUUGAAGACUAACUACUGCGAAAGCAUUUGCCAAGGAUGUUUUCAUUAAUCAAGAACGAAAGUUAGGGGAUCGAAGACGAUCAGAUACCGUCGUAGU
rnacentral:rRNA from 1 species